CAAUGUGCCUGGGAGGUCUCGUCAUUGGCGACAGAAAGAGAGGAAGAAGAAAAAAAAAAAAUACAUGAAAAAUAAAAAGACAAGAGGUAAACAUAACAGUGAUACAUUGCUUAUUUUAUUGGAAUUCUUGUUGUGUUUUUAUGAUUAGGAUAAUGUAAGAGGUGACAUAAAUUGAUAUCCCAUUAUACAUUAUAGAGGCUAAG